rnacentral:rRNA from 1 species
UACAGAGGUCUCAAGCGUUGUUCGGAUUCAUUGGGCGUAAAGGGUGCGUAGGCGGCGCGGUAAGUCGGGUGUGAAAUCUCGGAGCUUAACUCCGAAACUGCAUUCGAUACUGCCGUGCUUGAGGACUGGAGAGGAGACUGGAAUUUACGGUGUAGCGGUGAAAUGCGUAGAUAUCGUAAGGAAGACCAGUGGCGAAGGGCGGGUCUCUGGGCCAAAACUGACGCUGAGGAGCGAAAGCGUGGGGAGCGAACAGG